rnacentral:rRNA from 1 species
GACGAACGCUGGCGGCGUGCUUAACACAUGCAAGUCGAACGGUGACGCUGGAGCUUGCUCCAGCUGAUCAGUGGCGAACGGGUGAGUAACACGUGAGCAACCUGCCCUUGACUCUGGGAUAACCCCGGGAAACCGGAGCUAAUACCGGAUACGAACCGCACGGGCAUCUGCGCGGUUGGAAAGAUUUAUCGGUCAAGGAUGGGCUCGCGGCCUAUCAGCUUGUUGGUGGGGUAACGGCCCACCAAGGCGACGACGGGUAGCCGGCCUGAGAGGGCGACCGGCCACACUGGGACUGAGACACGGCCCAGACUCCUACGGGAGGCAGCAGUGGGGAAUAUUGCACAAUGGGCGAAAGCCUGAUGCAGCGACGCCGCGUGAGGGACGAAGGCCUUCGGGUUGUAAACCUCUUUCAGCAGGGAAGAAGCGAAAGUGACGGUACCUGCAGAAGAAGCCACGGCUAACUACGUGCCAGCCGCCGCUGUAAUAC